GAUGAACGCUGGCGGCGUGCCUAAUACAUGCAAGUCGAGCGAACGGACGAGAAGCUUGCUUCUCUGAUGUUAGCGGCGGACGGGUGAGUAACACGUGGAUAACCUACCUAUAAGACUGGGAUAACUUCGGGAAACCGGAGCUACUACCGGAUAAUAUUUUGAACCGCAUGGUUCAAAAGUGAAAGACGGUCUUGCUGUCACUUAUAGAUGGAUCCGCGCUGCAUUAGCUAGUUGGUAAGGUAACGGCCUACCAAGGCAACGAUGCAUAGCCGACCUGAGAGGAUGAUCGGCCACACUGGAACUGAGACACGGUCCAGACUCCUACGGGAGGCAGCAGUAGGGAAUAUUCCGCAAAGGGCGAAAGCCUGACGGAGCAACGCCGCGUGAGUGAUGAAGGUCUUCGGAUCGUAAAACUCUGUUAUUAGGGAAGAACAUAUGUGUAAGUAACUGUGCACAUCUUGACGGUACCUAAUCAGAAAGCCACGGCUAACUACGUG
rnacentral:rRNA from 1 species